GUGUUCUAACCAAUAAUCACCGAUGCGAUGUUCUGUCCGAUCGAUUCAGGAACCAUCUAACGAAUGCCGAAGUGCUUACUGUCUGAAUAAGACUAUACUUUGUGAAAUUCGUUAAGGUUCGAAUCUCGUGACUACCGUUAAGGUUUGAUUUGGGUUUUACACAAAUACGUAUUCCAUUCUGUUAAACUAUAUGUUUAACUACCAAAAAUACUCCCAACUACACACUCACAAUCAAACAAACUAUUAAAUCAUCAGAAGAUCCAGAAUAAUAAAGUGCAUGCUUAAUUAUCGGAAGAAGUAGAAUCAAGAAGCUUGUUAACUCAAUCUUGCAUGCUUAUAAAGUAAUUACAGUAGAUCGGAAUAAGAAUUGGAUCCAGCACUGAAGGACUUCAAGAAGUGGCUUAUUUUAUUAAUUAAAUCAACUUAAGAAAU
rnacentral:lncRNA from 1 species